GACGAACGCUGGCGGCGUGCUUAACACAUGCAAGUCGAGCGGUAAGGCCCUUUCGGGGGUACACGAGCGGCGAACGGGUGAGUAACACGUGGGUGACCUGCCCUUAGCUCUGGGAUAAGCCUGGGAAACUGGGUCUAAUACCGGAUAUGACUCCAUGACGCAUGUUGUGGGGUGGAAAGCCUUGUGCGGCUAGGGAUGGGCCCGCGGCCUAUCAGCUUGUUGGUGGGGUGAUGGCCACCAAGGCGACGACGGGUAGCCGGCCUGAGAGGGCGACCGGCCGACACUGGGACUGAGACACGGCCCAGACUCCUACGGGAGGCAGCAGUGGGGAAUCUUGCGCAAUGGGCGAAAGCCUGACGCAGCGACGCCGCGUGAGGGAUGACGGCCU
rnacentral:rRNA from 1 species